rnacentral:rRNA from 1 species
UCAGUGGGGAAAGAAGACCCUGUUGAGCUUGACUCCAGUCUGGCAUUGUUCGGAGACAUGCCGAGGUGUAGCAUAAGUGGGAGUCGGGGAUUCAUGCGACGGUCUUAAAAUACCAUCGUACCUCGACGCCGUUGAAAUACCACUACUCGCAUCGUUUCCUUACUUACUCGGUGAUGCGGAGCGCGUGUUGUUUGGUCCGUGGCUUUGGCCGAAGUUGUCCAAUCUGAUCUGACGCGGACGUUCGUUCGUUUUCUGGCCAAGACGCCUCGGACAAUGGCGUUCGAAAUACACUUCGACGUCUCGGUCCACGCUGCCUUUGUGUCUUCAACUUUCGACGGGUGUUUGUACAAUCUCUCGCAUUAACCGUGCGUGUGGAUUUGCAAUCUGCCUCCGAUAACCGAACAUUAAGUGUACCUGUGGUACCGGUGUCGGAGUUGUUCGUUCGUUACCGGGAUCCGUCUUGAACGGUCUCGUAUGUCGUUCGUGUCUGUAUUAGUUCGACUUCGCGUUCGGGCCCGCUGUGGCCGGCAAUCACGAUCGGUUCCAAGUCGCUUUAAGCGCAAACGCGUCGCCUGCUCGUUCUUCCAGUCACCGGUCGUCUUCGCGCUUUCAAACGUGCAGUCGAUCGCCUGGAAAACCUGGCGUCGUUGCGUGAUCCGAUCCGAGGACACCGCCAGGUGGGGAGUUUGUCUGGGGCGGAACAUCUGUCAAAGAAUAACGCAGGUGUCCUAAGGCCAGCUCAGCGAGGACGGAAACCUCGCGUAGAGCAAAAGGGCAAAAGCUGGCUUGAUCCCGGACGCCCAGUACGCGUAGGGACUGCGAAAGCAUCGGCCUCUCGAUCCUCUCGUCU